UCGAGCGGAUGAAGGGAGCUAGCUCCUGGAUUCAGCGGCGGACGGGUGAGUAAUGCCUAGGAAUCUGCCUGGUAGUGGGGGAUAACGUCCGGAAACGGGCGCUAAUACCGCAUACGUCCUGAGGGAGAAAGUGGGGGAUCUUCGGACCUCACGCUAUCAGAUGAGCCUAGGUCGGAUUAGCUAGUUGGGGGGUAAAGGCCUACCAAGGCGACGAUCCGUAACUGGUCUGAGAGGAUGAUCAGUCACACUGGAACUGAGACACGGUCCAGACUCCUACGGGAGGCAGCAGUGGGGAAUAUUGGACAAUGGGCGAAAGCCUGAUCCAGCCAUGCCGCGUGUGUGAAGAAGGUCUUCGGAUUGUAAAGCACUUUAAGUUGGGAGGAAGGGCAGUAAGUUAAUACCUUGCUGUUUUGACGUUACCAACAGAAUAAGCACCGGCUAACUUCGUGCCAGCAGCCGCGGUAAUACGAAGGGUGCAAGCGUUAAUCGGAAUUACUGGGCGUAAAGCGCGCGUAGGUGGUUCAGCAAGUUGGAUGUGAAAUCCCCGGGCUCAACCUGGGAACUGCAUCCAAAACUACUGAGCUAGAGUACGGUA
rnacentral:rRNA from 1 species